rnacentral:lncRNA from 1 species
CCCCCCGCCCCGGCCUUAGCUUAGAAAUACUGGGGUGCUGCGCGUGCUGAUUUCCCAGCCCGGGUGUACGGCGCUCGGUGCACGGAGCCCGGCGCUCAACAGGCCCUGGAGGAAACAAAUGCCUCCUGCAGGCACCAGUGUGGCCUGCAAGUGACUCGGGCAAGAGGAGACCAUCGCAGGGAGGGCACAGAGCACUUGGGGGUGGGAAGCGCCAGCCCCCGGGCCAACACGCAGCUCAUCCGAGUGUGCUCCAGGACGCACCCCGCAUCCCCAGGGUCGUUUGGGGUGCUCCAGAGCCCGGAGGCGCAGCCUGCAAGCCAAGCGCGGGAGCCCAGACGCGGGCCGUGACGGGAGGGCCACACAGCAGCAGGUCCCGAACCCGGAGCCAAACCUGUGAUUAGCGGCCAGGCGGGCAAAGCCGGGGCCCCUCCCGAGGCUUGCAAAGCUUGUCCAGGUGCAGUUCCAGUAACAAAUCCACCUUUCUUCUCCCUUUGGGCUGAGUUGACUUCGGUACCUCGGGGCCUCCAGCGGCCUCAGAACCGCUGGACGAGAGAACACGUCAGGCGGACGGCCCUUCAUGGAUGGUGGAAAUAGCCGGCGGGUGUGUGCUGUGGGGAGGAGAACCCUCCCCGUUAACCUGCUUCGGUGCACGAGAGGCCCAAGCAGCCCCAGAGGCUGGAGUUGGGGCCUGGGCUUCACAUCCAUAAACUAGAUCACACGGAAACCUAAGCCAUCUCGCCAGAACAAAGUCAGACCAUUAAAGAAGAACCAGCAAGAGGCACUCUUUAGUUUGGAUACCAGCCUGACUGUGCACAGCUCCACGUGCAAAACAAUGAGUAACACGCCAAUUAACUGUUCAGUUAGCAGUUCCCGUGACUGAGCGGGUGGCUUUGAACCACCCAGCCUGGGAGAUCCUAGGGCGGUCCCUGCCCCAGGAAGCCCAGGGCCACGAGGACCCGCGUCCCCAAGCUCCUGUUUACGUCCCAGGCGACGCUCUGGGUUGACGGAAGGCCCGUGGAGAACGGGCGGCCUCACCUGGGCUCACGCGGGUCGACGGCCGAAGGCACGGCACGGUCAGAACGCAGCAAGCCCCGCGGGUGCAGAGACGGAAGCGUCCGGACAUCAGGGGUGCACCCCGGCAGGCCGCAGAGCUGCGGGUCUCGGGCACCGCGACCCAGGGCCUGACACCCAGGCGUCAGCUGCUGCCAGUCCGGGACUGGGCGCCCCGCCAACGCCCGUAGGACCCUCCGAAGAGGCACCAGAGGCGUCCGGGGCCCUCCCGAGAUCCGCUCCCUCCCAGGCAGGCGCAGAGCGGCGCCGGCCUCGG